GGUAAAAAGAGGUGUUUUCCUUCUACUAAACAGUUGAAGGUAACCACAAAGAACAUGGCUAUUAGUUUUUUUUUGCUACCAAGAAAUACUUCCCACACACCGUUGCCAUCUGAGGAGCUUGAGCUCAUGCAAGCUGGUUUGGGGAAAAAACUGUGACCCUCCCGGAGGAUGGUGACCACACAAAGCAAAUUUCCAGAAGAGGAGAUCACAGUCCAUGCUAGUCUGUGUGGGGAGAGCUUUGCCUCAACAGUCCCUGCAGCUCAAGACGUUGCAUGGAAGAUGUAUGGGGCUUGCUUGAACAACAAGUUGACAGAACAAAAGAGUUUAAAUUGUG